AUUGAACGCUGGCGGCAGGCCUAACAAAUGCAAGUCGAACGAGUGGAGGAAGGGUGAGGAAUGUCUGGGAAACUGCAUGAUGGAGGGGGAUAACUACUGGAAACGGUAGCUAAACCAGCAUACACUCGGAUGUGCCAAGAUGUGAUUAGCUAGUAGGUGGGGUAAAGUCUCACCUAGGCGACGAUCCCUAGCUGGUCUGAUAGGAUGACCAGCCACCCGUGAACUGAGACACGGUCCAGACUCCUACGGGAGGCAGCAGUGGGGAGUAUUGCACAAUGGGCGCAAGCCUGAUGCAGCCAGGCCGCGUGUAUGAAGAAGGCCUUCGUGUUGUAAAGUACUUUCAGCGGGGAGGCGUUACCCGCAGAAGAAGCACCGGCUAACUCCGUGCCAGCAGCCGCGGUAAUAC
rnacentral:rRNA from 1 species